UCUUUCUCUCUCUCUCAUCCCCUCUCUGCUAUUGAGCCAAGGUUAUGGCCGCCAGUCGGACUCCGUUGCCAGGAAUGAGGAACCCAGUUUUUGAGCAUUAGUGAUUUUGAGUCUAAUUUGUGAAAAUUGUUAACCCUCUUUUUUAUCAUCGGAUAAAAAUGCAAUUGACAGGAGAUAAAGGUAAGACCCAUUUGCUUAAAAUUACAAUUGAGAUAGGGAAAAUGAUAGACCCAUUUGGUUAAAAUUGUCGUUGAUUGGAAAACAAGGUAGACCCAUUUGGUUAAAAUUGCAAUUGAAUGGGAAAAAAGGUAGAUCAUUUGGUUAAAAUUGUGAUUGAUGGGGAAAAAGAUAAGCCCAUUUGAUUUGAAUUGUAAUUUGCUGCAAUUGAUAGGGGAAACAAGGUAGCCAUGGUUGCUGUUGAUGGAAGUGUGGUGGUUGAGGGAGUGAAGAGUGGAGAGUACUAAUAUAUAGAUUUUUGUGAUUUGGAAAUGUCCGAAAUGUUGGUGUAAAAGGUAAAUGUAAUUAGAGAAAAAAAAUAUUAUCAUUUAUCAUCAUCAAUUAGCCACCUAAGCAAUUUCCAUCCACUUAUUGACGGAAAGGGUAACAUUGGAACCCGUCAUAAACUGCAAGGGUAAAAUUGAAACAAAAAAUUUUACAAGGACGAAAAUGAAACUGAGACUAAUUUAUAAGGACUAAAUAAGUAGAUAAGCCU